GAUGAACGCUGGCGGCGUGCCUAAUACAUGCAAGUCGAGCGAAAAGACGAGGAGCUUGCUCCUCUGACGUUAGCGGCGCACGGGUGAGAAACACGUGGAUAACCUACCUAUAAGACGGGGAUAAUUACGGGAAACCGGAGCUAAUACCGGAUAAUAUACUGAUCCGUAUGGUGCGUUGGUGAAUGACGGCUUUGGUGUCACUUAUAGAUGGAUCCGCGCCGCAUUAGCUAGUUGGUAAGGAAACGGCUUACCAAGGCAACGAUGCGUAGCCGACCUGAGAGGGUGGUCGGCCACAUGGGAACUGGGACACGGUCCAGACUCCUGCGAUACGCAGCAGUAGGGAAUGUUCGGCAAUGGGCGGAAGCCUGGCGGAGCAGCGCCGCGUGAGUGGUGGAGGUGUUCGGUUCGUAAAACUCUGUUAUUAGGUGUGAACAGAUGUGUAAGUAGCUAUGCACGUCUUGACGGUACCUAAUCAGAAAGCCACGGCUAACUACGUG
rnacentral:rRNA from 1 species